rfam:Desulfotomaculum hydrothermale Lam5 = DSM 18033, WGS project CAOS01000000 data, contig: ABX_2590_2
UGUCGAAGCGCCGGUAACAGCACUUGAUGAGCGAAAGGAGCCAUUGGGGGGCGCCCACAGGAUGUGGGCGCCAGCCGAACCGGGCCAGGAGGGGCCGUUUGAGGCGACCCCAAGGGCGACUGUAGCGAAUCAUAGUGCUGUCGGUGCGUAGACC